CCGGGCACUCUGGAAGGACUGCCAUCGACAAGAUGGAGGAAGGUGGGGAUGACGUCAAGUCAUCAUGGCCCUUAUGUCCAGGGCGACACACGUGCUACAAUGGCCGGCACAACGGGAAGCGAGUUCGCGAGGACGAGCGGAUCCCUCAAAGCCGGUCGCAGUUCGGAUUGAAGUCUGCAACUCGACUUCAUGAAGCUGGAAUCGCUAGUAAUCGUGGAUCAGCCAAGCCGCGGUGAAUACGUUCCCGGGCCUU
rnacentral:rRNA from 1 species